GAUGAAGAACGUAGUGAAAUGCGAUAAGUAAUGUGAAUUGCAGAAUUCAGUGAAUCAUCGAAUCUUUGAACGCACAUUGCGCCCGCCAGUAUUCUGGCGGGCAUGCCUGUUCGAGCGUCAUUACAACCCUCAGGCCCCCGGGCCUGGCGUUGGGGAUCGGCGGAGCCCCCCGUGGGCACACGCCGUCCCCCAAAUGCAGUGGCGGUCCCGCCGCAGCUUCCAUCGCGUAGUAGCUAACACCUCGCGACUGGAGAGCGGCGCGGCCACGCCGUAAAACACCCAACUCUUCUGAAGUUGACCUCGAAUCAGGUAGGAAUACCCGCUGAACUUAAGCAUAUCAAAAGCGGAGGA
rnacentral:misc_RNA from 1 species